GAUUUUUGAACAAAAUCCCUAUACUGAAUACGUGACAAAUCUACAUGCCAUAAGGGUUUUAAACAAAAAAAGAAGACCAAGACCAAGAUGAGAGCCGGGUGGAUCUCAUCACGAUCUCUUGAAACUCCAAGAAAGAAGAACAUGACAUAGCGUGCCCAUCUCAUUCACCCUCCCAAAAAGCUGCAACAAAGUCUCCUUGGGUUUCAAGAGACAUAGUUCGUUCGUCUAGAAUGAAUAUUUAGAGAAGCAAUAUCAAUAAGAGGUGGAUACGGUGGGGGUGUACAAAUCAGUACGAGGAGGAGGACGCAGGAGAGACCAAGGAAAAACCGGGCACCAAUUCAACCAAGAGAUGGCUGCAAUCAAACGAAGAGGAAAUGUUAGAUUGAGAAUUCGCCUCCACGAAGGCGAAGGACUACAU
rnacentral:lncRNA from 1 species